rnacentral:rRNA from 1 species
AAUCCUGCAGCUCAACUGUAGAAUUGCCUUUGAAACUGGUUGUCUUGAGUCAUUAUGAAGUGGUUAGAAUGUGUAGUGUAGCGGUGAAAUGCAUAGAUAUUACACAGAAUACCAAUUGCGAAGGCAGAUCACUAAUAAUGUACUGACACUGAUGGACGAAAGCGUGGGUAGCGAACAGGAUUAGAUACCCUGGUAGUCCACGCCGUAAACGAUGGUCACUAGCUGUUCGGACUUCGGUCUGAGUGGCUAAGCGAAAGUGAUAAGUGACCCACCUGGGGAGUACGUUCGCAAGAAUGAAACUCAAAGGAAUUGACGGGGGCCCGCACAAGCGGUGGAGCAUGUGGUUUAAUUCGAUGAUACGCGAGGAACCUUACCAGGGCUUAAAUGUAGAGUGACAGGUCUAGAAAUAGAUUUUUCUUCGGACUCUUUACAAGGUGCUGCAUGGUUGUCGUCAGCUCGUGCCGUGAGGUGUCAGGUUAAGUCCUAUAACGAGCGCAACCCCUGUUGUUAGUUGCCAGCGAGUAAUGUCGGGAACUCUAGCAAGACUGCCAGUGCAAACUGUGAGGAAGGUGGGGAUGACGUCAAAUCAUCACGGCCCUUACGUCCUGGGCUACACACGUGCUACAAUGGUAGGUACAGAGAGCAGCCAAUGCGUGAGCAUGAGCGAAUCUAC